rnacentral:rRNA from 1 species
AGCAGCCGCGGUAAUUCCAGCUCCAAUAGCGUAUAUUAAAGUUGUUGCAGUUAAAAAGCUCGUAGUUGAAUUUCGGAGUUUGUCGGUUGGUCGGGCUUCACUGUCCGCACUGACCUGAUGGAUUCCUACCUUCUGAAUAACCAGCAUGCUAUUAAGUUAGUGCGUUGGGGAGGCAGAGCUAUUACCUUGAAAAAAUUAGAGUGCUUAAAGCAGGCUUAUGCUUGAAUAGAUUAGCAUGGAAUAAUAAAAUAGGACGGCAUGGUUCUAUUUUGUUGGUUUCUAGGAUCACCGUAAUGAUUAAUAGGGAUAGUUGGGGGCAUUAGUAUUCAAUUGUCAGAGGUGAAAUUCUUGGAUUUAUUGAAGACUAACUUCUGCGAAAGCAUUUGCCAAGGAUGUUUUCAUUAAUCAAGAACGAAAGUUAGGGGAUCGAAGACGAUCAGAUACCGUCGUAGUCUUAACCAUAAACUAUGCCGACUAGGGAUCGGACGAUGUUAAUUUUUUAAUGACUCG